GGGUUGUGAGGUUAAGCGACUAAGCGUACACGGUGGAUGCCCUGGCAGUCAGAGGCGAUGAAGGACGUGCUAAUCUGCGAUAAGCGCCGGUAAGGUGAUAUGAACCGUUAUAACCGGCGAUUUCCGAAUGGGGAAACCCAGUGUGACUCGUCACACUAUCAUUAACUGAAUCCAUAGGUUAAUGAGGCGAACCGGGGGAACUGAAACAUCUAAGUACCCCGAGGAAAAGAAAUCAACCGAGAUUCCCCCAGUAGCGGCGAGCGAACGGGGAGGAGCCCAGAGCCUGAAUCAGCAUGUGUGUUAGUGGAAGCGUCUGGAAAGGCGCGCGAUACAGGGUGACAGCCCCGUACACAAAAGCGCAUGUGCUGUGAGCUCGAUGAGUAGGGCGGGACACGUGGUAUCCUGUCUGAAUAUGGGGGGACCAUCCUCCAAGGCUAAAUACUCCUGACUGACCGAUAGUGAACCAGUACCGUGAGGGAAAGGCGAAAAGAACCCCGGCGAGGGGAGUGAAAAAGAACCUGAAACCGUGUACGUACAAGCAGUGGGAGCACAGGUUUACCUGUGUGACUGCGUACCUUUUGUAUAAUGGGUCAGCGACUUAUAUUCUGUAGCAAGGUUAACCGAAUAGGGGAGCCGGAGGGAAACCGAGUCUUAAUUGGGCGUUAAGUUGCAGGGUAUAGACCCGAAACCCGGUGAUCUAGCCAUGGGCAGGUUGAAGGUUGGGUAACACUAACUGGAGGACCGAACCGACUAAUGUUGAAAAAUUAGCGGAUGACCUGUGGCUGGGGGUGAAAGGCCAAUCAAACCGGGAGAUAGCUGGUUCUCCCCGAAAGCUAUUUAGGUAGCGCCUCGUGAACUCAUCUCCGGGGGUAGAGCACUGUUUCGGCUAGGGGGCCAUCCCGGCUUACCAACCCGAUGCAAACUGCGAAUACCGGAGAAUGUUAUCACGGGAGACACACGGCGGGUGCUAACGUCCGUCGUGAAGAGGGAAACAACCCAGACCGCCAGCUAAGGUCCCAAAGUCAUGGUUAAGUGGGAAACGAUGUGGGAAGGCCCAGACAGCCAGGAUGUUGGCUUAGAAGCAGCCAUCAUUUAAAGAAAGCGUAAUAGCUCACUGGUCGAGUCGGCCUGCGCGGAAGAUGUAACGGGGCUAAACCAUGCACCGAAGCUGCGGCAGCGAACGUAUCACUUAAAGCGAUUCAGCGGGUUACGAUUGACGGAGCGAAGCGACGUCAAAGCGUAUACAAAGUCGAGUCGGUUUAAGGAUACGUUCGUUGGGUAGGGGAGCGUUCUGUAAGCCUGCGAAGGUGGCCUGUGAGGGUUGCUGGAGGUAUCAGAAGUGCGAAUGCUGACAUAAGUAACGAUAAAGCGGGUGAAAAGCCCGCUCGCCGGAAGACCAAGGGUUCCUGUCCAACGUUAAUCGGGGCAGGGUGAGUCGACCCCUAAGGCGAGGCCGAAAGGCGUAGUCGAUGGGAAACGGGUUAAUAUUCCCGUACUUGGUGUUACUGCGAAGGGGGGACGGAGAAGGCUAUGUUGGCCGGGCGACGGUUGUCCCGGUUUAAGCGUGUAGGCUGGUUUUCCAGGCAAAUCCGGAAAAUCAAGGCUGAGGCGUGAUGACGAGGCACUACGGUGCUGAAGCAACAAAUGCCCUGCUUCCAGGAAAAGCCUCUAAGCAUCAGGUAACAUCAAAUCGUACCCCAAACCGACACAGGUGGUCAGGUAGAGAAUACCAAGGCGCUUGAGAGAACUCGGGUGAAGGAACUAGGCAAAAUGGUGCCGUAACUUCGGGAGAAGGCACGCUGACAUGUAGGUGAAGUGAUUUACUCAUGGAGCUGAAGUCAGUCGAAGAUACCAGCUGGCUGCAACUGUUUAUUAAAAACACAGCACUGUGCAAACACGAAAGUGGACGUAUACGGUGUGACGCCUGCCCGGUGCCGGAAGGUUAAUUGAUGGGGUCAGCGCAAGCGAAGCUCCUGAUCGAAGCCCCGGUAAACGGCGGCCGUAACUAUAACGGUCCUAAGGUAGCGAAAUUCCUUGUCGGGUAAGUUCCGACCUGCACGAAUGGCGUAAUGAUGGCCAGGCUGUCUCCACCCGAGACUCAGUGAAAUUGAACUCGCUGUGAAGAUGCAGUGUACCCGCGGCAAGACGGAAAGACCCCGUGAACCUUUACUAUAGCUUGACACUGAACAUUGAGCCUUGAUGUGUAGGAUAGGUGGGAGGCUUUGAAGUGUGGACGCCAGUCUGCAUGGAGCCGACCUUGAAAUACCACCCUUUAAUGUUUGAUGUUCUAACGUGGACCCGUAAUCCGGGUUGCGGACAGUGUCUGGUGGGUAGUUUGACUGGGGCGGUCUCCUCCUAAAGAGUAACGGAGGAGCACGAAGGUUGGCUAAUCCUGGUCGGACAUCAGGAGGUUAGUGCAAUGGCAUAAGCCAGCUUGACUGCGAGCGUGACGGCGCGAGCAGGUGCGAAAGCAGGUCAUAGUGAUCCGGUGGUUCUGAAUGGAAGGGCCAUCGCUCAACGGAUAAAAGGUACUCCGGGGAUAACAGGCUGAUACCGCCCAAGAGUUCAUAUCGACGGCGGUGUUUGGCACCUCGAUGUCGGCUCAUCACAUCCUGGGGCUGAAGUAGGUCCCAAGGGUAUGGCUGUUCGCCAUUUAAAGUGGUACGCGAGCUGGGUUUAGAACGUCGUGAGACAGUUCGGUCCCUAUCUGCCGUGGGCGCUGGAGAACUGAGGGGGGCUGCUCCUAGUACGAGAGGACCGGAGUGGACGCAUCACUGGUGUUCGGGUUGUCAUGCCAAUGGCACUGCCCGGUAGCUAAAUGCGGAAGAGAUAAGUGCUGAAAGCAUCUAAGCACGAAACUUGCCCCGAGAUGAGUUCUCCCUGAGACUUAGAGUCUCCUGAAGGAACGUUGAAGACGACGACGUUGAUAGGCCGGGUGUGUAAGCGCAGCGAUGCGUUGAGCUAACCGGUACUAAUGAACCGUGAGGCUUAACCUUACAACGCCGAAG
rnacentral:rRNA from 2 species